rnacentral:rRNA from 1 species
GACGAACGCUGGCGGCGUGCUUAACACAUGCAAGUCGAACGGUGAAGCGCCUUCCUUUUUGGUGGGUGUGGAUGAGUGGCGAACGGGUGAGUAACACGUGAGUAACCUGCCCCCUUCUUCUGGAUAACCGCAUGAAAGUGUGGCUAAUACGGGAUAUUCUGGGUCUGUCGCAUGAUGGGUCUGGGAAAGAUAUUGUUUCGGUGGGGGAUGGGCUCGCGGCCUAUCAGCUUGUUGGUGGGGUGAUGGCCUACCAAGGCGGUGACGGGUAGCCGGCCUGAGAGGGUGGACGGGCAGACUGGGACUGAGACACGGGCCAGACUCCUACGGGAGGCAGCAGUGGGGGAGAUUGCACAAUGGGCGCAGGCCUGAUGCAGCGACGCCGCGUGAGGGAUGGAGGCCGUCGGGUUGUGAACCUCUUUCGCCAGUGAAGCAGGCCUGCCUCGUUUGUGGGUGGGUUGACGGUAGCGGGAUAAGAAGCGCCGGCUAACUACGU